GGGCCCAUAGUCUAGUGGUUAUGACGUCGCCUUGACGUGGCGAAGGUCCCCGGUUCGAGUCCGGGUGGGCCCA
rnacentral:tRNA from 1 species